GGGGCAGCAUGGUCUUAGCUUGCUAAGGCCGAUGGCGACCGGCGCACGGGUGAGUAACACGUAUCCAACCUGCCGUCUACUCUUGGACAGCCUUCUGAAAGGAAGAUUAAUACAAGAUGGCAUCAUGAGUCCGCAUGUUCACAUGAUUAAAGGUAUUCCGGUAGACGAUGGGGAUGCGUUCCAUUAGAUAGUAGGCGGGGUAACGGCCCACCUAGUCUUCGAUGGAUAGGGGUUCUGAGAGGAAGGUCCCCCACAUUGGAACUGAGACACGGUCCAAACUCCUACGGGAGGCAGCAGUGAGGAAUAUUGGUCAAUGGGCGAGAGCCUGAACCAGCCAAGUAGCGUGAAGGAUGACUGCCCUAUGGGUUGUAAACUUCUUUUAUAAAGGAAUAAAGUCGGGUAUGCAUACCCGUUUGCAUGUACUUUAUGAAUAAGGAUCGGCUAACUCCGUGCCAGCAGCCGCGGUAAUACGGAGGAUCCGAGCGUUAUCCGGAUUUAUUGGGUUUAAAGGGAGCGUAGAUGGAUGUUUAAGUCAGUUGUGAAAGUUUGCGGCUCAACCGUAAAAUUGCAGUUGAUACUGGAUAUCUUGAGUGCAGUUGAGGCAGGCGGAAUUCGUGGUGUAGCGGUGAAAUGCUUAGAUAUCACGAAGAACUCCGAUUGCGAAGGCAGCCUGCUAAGCUGCAACUGACAUU
rnacentral:rRNA from 1 species